AACCAUUGCGAACGUUUCCGUACCGCGUUUCUUCGGCGGGUGGCCCCUAGGAGGGGCCCCAGGCCGCCCUACCCCAUUGCGGGGUGGGGCGGUAGCCCGCCGGAGGACACAAAACUCUUAUGUAUUACAGUGGUCUCUCUGAGUAAACAAACAAAUAAGUUAAAACUUUCAACAACGGAUCUCUUGGUUCUGGCAUCGAUGAAGAACGCAGCGAAAUGCGAUAAGUAAUGUGAAUUGCAGAAUUCAGUGAAUCAUCGAAUCUUUGAACGCACAUUGCGCCCGCUGGUAUUCUAGCGGGCAUGCCUGUUCGAGCGUCAUUACAACCCUCAAGCUCCGCUUGGUGUUGGGGCCCUACGGCUGCCGUAGGCCUCGAAAGGUAGUGGCGGGCUCGCUAAGUCUCCGAGCGUAGUAGAAUCCUAUCUCGCUAUGGACGGCUUCGCGGGUUCCGGCCGUUAAACACCCCCUUAUACAAGGUUGACCUCGGAUCAGGUAGGAAUACCCGCUGAACUU
rnacentral:rRNA from 1 species